rnacentral:rRNA from 1 species
GGUUGCGAUCAUACCAGCACUAAUGCACCGGAUCCCAUCAGAACUCCGUAGUUAAGCGUGCUUGGGCGAGAGUAGUACUAGGAUGGGUGACCCCCUGGGAAGUCCUCGUGUUGCAACCCC